rnacentral:rRNA from 1 species
AUUGAACGCUGGCGGCAUGCUUUACACAUGCAAGUCGGACGGCAGCACAGAGAAGCUUGCUUCUUGGGUGGCGAGUGGCGAACGGGUGAGUAAUAUAUCGGAACGUACCGAGUAAUGGGGGAUAACUAAUCGAAAGAUUAGCUAAUACCGCAUAUUCUCUGAGGAGGAAAGCAGGGGACCUUCGGGCCUUGCGUUAUUCGAGCGGCCGAUAUCUGAUUAGCUAGUUGGUGGGGUAAAGGCCUACCAAGGCGACGAUCAGUAGCGGGUCUGAGAGGAUGAUCCGCCACACUUGGACUGAGACACGGCCCAGACUCCUACGGGAGGCAGCAGUGGGGAAUUUUGGACAAUGGGCGCAAGCCUGAUCCAGCCAUGCCGCGUGUCUGAAGAAGGCCUUCGGGUUGUAAAGGACUUUUGUCAGGGAAGAAAAGGCUGUUGCUAAUAUCGACAGCUGAUGACGGCACCUGAAGAAUAAGCACCGGCUAACUACGUG